UACGAAGGGGGCUAGCGUUGCUCGGAAUUACUGGGCGUAAAGCGCGCGUAGGCGGCUUUUCAAGUCGAUUGUGAAAUCCCCGGGCUUAACCUGGGAACUGCAGUCGAGACUGUCUAGCUAGAGUAUGGGAGAGGGAAGUGGAAUUUCAGGUGUAGCGGUGAAAUGCGUAGAUAUCUGAAGGAACAUCAGUGGCGAAAGCGACUUCCUGGACCAAUACUGACGCUCAUGUGCGAAAGCGUGGGGAGCAAACAGG
rnacentral:rRNA from 1 species